rnacentral:rRNA from 1 species
UACGGAGGGUGCAAACGUUGCUCGGAAUCAUUGGGCGUAAAGCGCACGUAGGCGGUCCAGCAAGUCGGGUGUGAAAGCCCUCGGCUUAACCGAGGAAGUGCAUUCGAAACUACUGGACUUGAAUACUGGAGAGGAUCGCGGAAUUCCCGGUGUAGAGGUGAAAUUCGUAGAUAUGGGGAGGAACACCGGUGGCGAAGGCGGCCACCUGGACGGUAACUGACGCUGAGGCGCGAAAGCGUGGGGAGCAAACAGG